GUCAUUUUUGUCCUAUACUGAGUGCAGUAGUUUAUUCUACUACACUGAAAUAAUCCUGUGUGUUUGUUUUCUUCCUAGAUAAUUUUAAUGAUAUGGAAUGUUCUUAAUGACCUGACUGGAUAUUUUCCCAACAACUCUAAGGCCGAAUGCUGUUCAAGUUGUCAUAUUUCUGUCUUGUACUGUGUCCCUUUCUAUGCAGUAGCCUUCCUGCUCCUGUGGUUUCCUUGGAAAUACUAUUAAGAAGGUGACUGGCUUAGUGGACUUCACCUGGUGGUAUCGUUAGGUGCUUUUGAUAGCACGCUCACCUGUGUCCAACAAGCCCAGUGUAAACUGUUUGCAGAGAUUUUCACUAGACAUGAAAGUUGGCUUCAGCUUAUUAAAAUUAACCAAGUGGCAUCACUUCUAGGCUCUACCGGUAUCCUCUUCUGUCGCCCGAUCUCUAAUAACAUGGAAAUUUUGCCCCAUUUCCAGGCUGUUGCCAUUGUCAUUGCUUUCCUUGCUACUGCCAGCCUUUACGCUGGGAUGUAUCAUGUGAGGUGUUUUGAACCUAAAAGAAACCCCAAAGAGAACCUCCUCUUGGAAUCUGAACAGGAUCUCACCUGGACUCCUAUCAUUUUAUCCGUGAGACAGAUCUUAUCCCAGAAAUACUUUUACCUUUUUCUGAUCAUGAAUUUCUUUCGAGUCUUUAACCUUCUUCAGCAACUUCAUGAUGAUCUUUGCAGAUAUUCUCAUUCUCAGAGAUGUACUAUCUUCUUCCAUAAGGAGCAUUAUGUAGGGGGCAGGCUUUAUUUGCCCACAGUGCCUUGUACUUAUCAGUCAGUCCUGGCUGAAAAAGUUUGGUUACUAUAAGAUCAUCUUAAUUUCUUUCUAUCUACAAGGAACAGCCUCCACUGUCAUGUUACUCCUGGGAAAGCAAUACUAUUACUGUUUGGCUCUUUAUCUCACUAUUAUCAUGGUUAUUGUGCAAGCUUCGGUUUCCUUGUUUACCCUGCCACUAGUUGACAUGGUUGAUGCAGAUUAAACUUCAGUAAUGAAGUUUAAUCAGCAGUCACCCCUUCCCUCAGUGGUUUUUGCCAUUAAUGCUUUGUUGACCAAAUCUGCCCAGUCGUUAGCACCCACGGUGAUACUUUCUAGGCUAAACCAGUAUGAAUAGGGAAACACAAAUAGCAGGUAAAGUUAAAAAAAAAAAGUUCUUGAAAUAUUGUAAAAGAAACAUGAAAGCAAACAUAGCCUUUUACGUUAAUUUCUAAGCAAUUAUCUUGACCUUUGUGUAUCAUUAGUCACUAACUUGUAUCUUGAGUAAGGUGUAAUAAAAAGUAUUAAUAUCAAAUGGACUUUCAUAGGAGUAUCUUUAAGUGUCUUCUUUAAAUUAUGUACAUACUAAAUGCCUUCACACUAAGCUACAUAUUAAUUGCUUUAUCUAAGUUAUUCAUUCAUUUACUAUUUCAUUUCACAAAUGCUUUUGAGUGCCUGCGAUUAUAGUCCAGGUACAAAGGUCCUUUGAAUACAGGAUGAAUACAAACCUUCUAAGGGGCCAUACAGAUUACAGAAAACUGUAAUAAGGGACCACGAGAAGUAUAAUGGGACUGUGGUAA